GAUGAACGCUGGCGGCGUGCCUAAUACAUGCAAGUCGAGCGAACAGACGAGGAGCUUGCUCCUCUGACGUUGGCGGCGGACGGGUGAGUAACACGUGGAUAACCUACCUAUAAGACUGGGAUAACUUCGGGAAACCGGGGCUAAUACCGGAUAAUAUAUUGAACCGCAUGGUUCAAUAGUGAAAGACGGUUUUGCUGUCACUUAUAGAUGGAUCCGCGCCGCAUUAGCUAGUUGGUAAGGUAACGGCUUACCAAGGCAACGAUGCGUAGCCGACCUGAGAGGGUGAUCGGCCACACUGGAACUGAGACACGGUCCAGACUCCUACGGGAGGCAGCAGUAGGGAAUCUUCCGCAAUGGGCGAAAGCCUGACGGAGCAACGCCGCGUGAGUGAUGAAGGUCUUCGGAUCGUAAAACUCUGUUAUUAGGGAAGAACAAAUGUGUAAGUAACUAUGCACGUCUUGACGGUACCUAAUCAGAAAGCCACGGCUAACUACGUG
rnacentral:rRNA from 1 species